CCUACGGGAGGCAGCAGUGGGGAAUUUUGGACAAUGGGCGCAAGCCUGAUCCAGCCAUGCCGCGUGCGGGAAGAAGGCCUUCGGGUUGUAAACCGCUUUUGUCAGGGAAGAAAUCCCUUGAGCUAAUACCUCGGGGGGAUGACGGUACCUGAAGAAUAAGCACCGGCUAACUACGUGCCAGCAGCCGCGGUAAUACGUAGGGUGCAAGCGUUAAUCGGAAUUACUGGGCGUAAAGCGUGCGCAGGCGGUUAUGUAAGACAGGUGUGAAAUCCCCGGGCUUAACCUGGGAACUGCACUUGUGACUGCAUAGCUUGAGUGCGGCAGAGGGGGAUGGAAUUCCGCGUGUAGCAGUGAAAUGCGUAGAUAUGCGGAGGAACACCGAUGGCGAAGGCAAUCCCCUGGGCCUGCACUGACGCUCAUGCACGAAAGCGUGGGGAGCAAACAGGAUUAGAUACCCUGGUAGUCCACGCCCUAAACGAUGUCAACUGGUUGUUGGACGGCUUGCUGUUCAGUAACGUAGCUAACGCGUGAAGUUGACCGCCUGGGGAGGUACGGCCGCGAGUAGAACGUACGAAAGAGUAGUAGACGCGAGAGAGCGACGACGGACGACGACGGGAGGGAGGAG
rnacentral:rRNA from 1 species